AACGAACGCUGGCGGCAGGCUUAACACAUGCAAGUCGAGCGCCCCGCAAGGGGAGCGGCAGACGGGUGAGUAACGCGUGGGAACGUACCCUUUGCUACGGAAUAGCUCCGGGAAACUGGAAUUAAUACCGUAUGUGCCCUACGGGGGAAAGAUUUAUCGGCAAAGGAUCGGCCCGCGUUGGAUUAGCUAGUUGGUGGGGUAAUGGCCUACCAAGGCGACGAUCCAUAGCUGGUCUAAGAGGAUGAUCAGCCACAUUGGGACUGAGACACGGCCCAAACUCCUACGGGAGGCAGCAGUGGGGAAUAUUGGACAAUGGGCGCAAGCCUGAUCCAGCCAUGCCGCGUGAGUGAUGAAGGCCUUAGGGUUGUAAAGCUCUUUCACCGGAGAAGAUAAUGACGGUAUCCGGAGAAGAAGCCCCGGCUAACUUCGUGCCAGCAGCCGCGGUAACAC
rnacentral:rRNA from 1 species